AGACCCGAAACCCGGUGAUCUAGCCAUGGGCAGGUUGAAGGUUGGGUAACACUAACUGGAGGACCGAACCGACUAAUGUUGAAAAAUUAGCGGAUGACCUGUGGCUGGGGGUGAAAGGCCAAUCAAACCGGGAGAUAGCUGGUUCUCCCCGAAAGCUAUUUAGGUAGCGCCUCGUGAAUUCAUCUCCGGGGGUAGAGCACUGUUUCGGCUAGGGGGCCAUCCCGGCUUACCAACCCGAUGCAAACUGCGAAUACCGGAGAAUGUUAUCACGGGAGACACACGGCGGGUGCUAACGUCCGUCGUGAAGAGGGAAACAACCCAGACCGCCAGCUAAGGUCCCAAAGUCAUGGUUAAGUGGGAAACGAUGUGGGAAGGCCCAGACAGCCAGGAUGUUGGCUUAGAAGCAGCCAUCAUUUAAAGAAAGCGUAAUAGCUCACUGGUCGAGUCGGCCUGCGCGGAAGAUGUAACGGGGCUAAACCAUGCACCGAAGCUGCGGC
rnacentral:rRNA from 9 species